ACACUAUCUAUACGGCAGUGGCAACUAACAUGGAAUUUCCUUUGAUGUUUUUAUGUACCACAAAUUUAGCACAUGCAUGGCAAAUGAAAUAAGCCAGUGAGUCAGCACAUUUGAGGUAAACGUCAACAUCAUCUACUUUGGGUCAAGGGAGAUGCAGGAGCUGCAAAAGAUUAGGCUAGACGCAUUAUGACCGGACACACAAGGCCUCCUAGGGAAUCUGAUAUGAGGCAAGAUUUUUACAUGAUGGGGAAGUUCUUCAAACAAAGUGCAUACAGCUGGUGAUCCGCAUGAGAGUAAAAUACAUACAAUUUGUUACCUUUUCUGGUGAUCCGCUAUUUCCCUGGUGGGGAAGUUCUUCAAACAAAGUGCACCUGAAGUUUCGUCAGCAAUUUGAAAUGUGGGAGGGCAAAUUGGUCAAGUUGAAAAUAUGUGUGACGAAGCCUCCCGACCGGAGGAAACAGAGGAAGUUCUUCCU